rnacentral:rRNA from 1 species
AGAGUUUGAUCCUGGCUCAGGACGAACGCUGGCGGCGCGCCUAACACAUGCAAGUCGAACGAGCGAGAGAGAGCUUGCUUUCUCGAGCGAGUGGCGAACGGGUGAGUAACGCGUGAGGAACCUGCCUCAAAGAGGGGGACAACAGUUGGAAACGACUGCUAAUACCGCAUAAGCCCACGGUGCCGCAUGGCACAGAGGGAAAAGGAGCAAUCCGCUUUGAGAUGGCCUCGCGUCCGAUUAGCUAGUUGGUGAGGUAACGGCCCACCAAGGCGACGAUCGGUAGCCGGACUGAGAGGUUGAACGGCCACAUUGGGACUGAGACACGGCCCAGACUCCUACGGGAGGCAGCAGUGGGGAAUAUUGCACAAUGGGGGAAACCCUGAUGCAGCGACGCCGCGUGGAGGAAGAAGGUCUUCGGAUUGUAAACUCCUGUUGUUGAGGAAGAUAAUGACGGUACUCAACAAGGAAGUGACGGCUAACUACGUGCCAGCAGCCGCGGUAAAACGUAGGUCACAAGCGUUGUCCGGAAUUACUGGGUGUAAAGGGAGCGCAGGCGGGAAGACAAGUUGGAAGUGAAAUCUAUGGGCUCAACCCAUAAACUGCUUUCAAAACUGUUUUUCUUGAGUAGUGCAGAGGUAGGCGGAAUUCCCGGUGUAGCGGUGGAAUGCGUAGAUAUCGGGAGGAACACCAGUGGCGAAGGCGGCCUACUGGGCACCAACUGACGCUGAGGCUCGAAAGUGUGGGUAGCAAACAGGAUUAGAUACCCUGGUAGUCCACACCGUAAACGAUGAUUACUAGGUGUUGGAGGAUUGACCCCUUCAGUGCCGCAGUUAACACAAUAAGUAAUCCACCUGGGGAGUACGACCGCAAGGUUGAAACUCAAAGGAAUUGACGGGGGCCCGCACAAGCAGUGGAGUAUGUGGUUUAAUUCGACGCAACGCGAAGAACCUUACCAAGUCUUGACAUCCUGCGACGAUGCUGGAAACAGUAUUUUCCUUCGGGACGCAGAGACAGGUGGUGCAUGGUUGUCGUCAGCUCGUGUCGUGAGAUGUUGGGUUAAGUCCCGCAACGAGCGCAACCC